CAACCAACAACUACACCCAAACCUCGGGCUAAGCCCUUUUAUAAACAGCAAGAUGAAAGUACCAAGUACCUAUGCAAAUCCAAUCCAAGCUCUCUGAGGAAUAAAAUUCAACUCAUCUCACUUAUUGUAAGAAUGAGGAGCAUCACACAAUUGCCCCAAAGUAGAAAAGAGGCCAAACUUACCACCGCCACCUCCGAGAAGACUUGAAUUAGCUGUGGAAGAACAAGAGAACCAAGAAUUACAUCAGAGCAAGCUUUGUGUGUUUUGUUU